AUCUGCCCGUUUUGACAGCAGCGACCCUACGCAUCAGCCUUUCCUUGCGGUGACUCAUGAGUUUCUUGGUCAGGCUCCUCCACCCGUGGCAGCACAUCCCCCACAUGGGCUCUCCGUCGCUGGCGUCACUGGGUUGUGCAGCUCGGACUGUGUUGCUUAGCAACGAAAUAACAAACAAGCCUUACUGGAAUUCUGUAAUAAUAGCCAAAAUAUCGCCAGCCCCGAGCUUCCAGUUCAAGGCAUCAUUACUCCUCUUGUGAUGCACUAUGCACAACUUCUAUGGAUAUUUAAAAUGCUCUCCAGUUGAAUUCUGUAGAUCACACACACAGGUACCCAUGUAUGAGGUUGUCCCACUGGCCAAGGCCUGGAGAGAAGCUGCGGGAGGUAUGAAGUCCACGUUCCAAUACUCGGACGCAGCGUAUGUGGCAUGAUGAGAAAAAGAGUUUUUGUGGAUGUAAUUCAGUGAAGGAUCUUGAGAUGAGAUCUUCCUGGAAAAUCUGGGUGGGCCCUCCCUCCAACAUCGGUCAUUCUGGGAGGCAGGAGAGAAGAGCGUAAAACCACAGUCGAGGCCGUAGGAGAGCGCAGGUGCAGACUGGAGGGAGGGAGACCUGGGUCUCGGACCACCUUGAACCUCUAGAACCCACGACCACCAGGGAAGGAUUCUGUCCUCAGAGGGAGUGCAGCCCAGCCAGACUUCUGGUCUCCAGAACUGUGAGAGAAGGCAUUUCUGUUAUUUUAAGCCACCAAGUUUGUGGCAUCCGCUGCGGUGGUCCCAGGCUACUGAUGCAGGCGUGUUCGGGGCACACCUGGGCGAGACAGGUUUCUGCAUGUGUAUGAAGAUCCUUGAGUUGCAUGUAUAGAAACCCCGUGACACUCUUAUUCAUAAAAGAGUCACUUGUAAGGGUAUGGAGCACUAGAAUUGAAGGUCAAGAAAGAAUCUGGGCUAGAGAAAGGGAUGAGAGCCAGGACCUGGAAUGCUGGCAGGACCCUGUUUUUCUUUGUGUCUGCUUCAUUGUUUUUUGUUUUCUGCUGCCACGUUUGCCCUGCCUCCAUGUAGAACAGACUACCCCAUAGCUCCUGCGCGUACGUGUUACUAUUCUAGCCACACGGGGAAACUAGCUAGUCUGUGCUCACCCCCAAAGCCAACUUGGAGAGCUCAGGCGCCCUCCCCUGGUCUCAUUCCCGAUGGUGCUAGGGGCAAGAUUUGCCAUAGAAACCUGGCUGCCAGGCGCAUGUAUCCGUGUGGAUAAGGAGGCCUAUUCUUUGAGAAAAGCCAGUGUCCAGUGGUGUCUACCAGUAGCAGCUGUCUUAUUGUGCUGUGUCGUAUCGGUUAGCUACUGCCCCCGCCAAAAACUGUCUAAAAAACCCCCAAAUGAAUACUUGAAAAUAACAAUUAUUUAUUUUCACAGAUUACAGGGCAGCUGGCUGAGGUUGGGCUUGGUUGAGCUGGUUGAGGACGAUCCUGGGGCUCGGGUGCAGGUGACGACAGCCACCAGGGAGGAGCUCUUCUCAUGGUGAUGGCAGAAGUACAGGAGGGCAAGCCCCGAAAGGCAAGCACGCUUGCGUCAUGUGCGCGAACAUCCUAUCGGCCAAAGCAUCACCGCCGCCUUCCGCGGGUGGAGUGGGGAAGGGUCCUCCUCUUACAGAGGUUAGGUGGGUGGGAGAAGGUUGUUGAGCAAUAAUCUAUCACCUGGCACAAGGUUUUUAGUAAUGGAACUAAAGGAUCAAACGUAAUCCCACUCCUAGUGGGACUCCUACCAUCAGGAAACUCCUGUCCUACCGGAUCGUGAACUUCUCAGAAUAAUGUAUCAAGACUCUUUCCAGAAAUUUUUGGACUAAACCCCAUUAAGCCUUUAAUCUUAACUUCCAGUACAUAGGAGACAUAAGGAGGGCUAGAGGGAGAAGCUGAAUGGAUACUGAAUCAGUUAUUUCCUGCUCAGUAACAAAGUACCCCCAAGCUGAGCUGCUUACACAGCAAUGAACAGUAGCUCACAGGAUCGUGCAAGAGAGAGCAAGGAGAAACUGCCAGGUGUGACCCAGUCUCAGAGGCAUGAGCUGUCACUUUUGCUCAUUCUGUUUGUUAGAAAUGAGUCAGAGGACAGCUGACACUCCAGAGGAAUUUCUACCAUUGAAUCAAGAGAAUCAAAGCAUUUGUGGACAUAUUUAAAAAUCACUACUGAAAUUAUUUGAGAUAAAGAGAUAAAGAGACCGAAAGCAGUGUUUCACAUUCCUGACUGGC